rnacentral:rRNA from 1 species
CCUACGGGUGGCAGCAGUGAGGAAUAUUGGUCAAUGGACGAGAGUCUGAACCAGCCAAGUCGCGUGAAGGAUGACUGCCCUAUGGGUUGUAAACUUCUUUUAUAUGGGAGUAAAAUGUUCCACGUGUGGGAUUUUGUAUGUACCAUAUGAAUAAGGAUCGGCUAACUCCGUGCCAGCAGCCGCGGUAAUACGGAGGAUCCGAGCGUUAUCCGGAUUUAUUGGGUUUAAAGGGAGCGUAGGGGGCUUGUUAAGUCAGUUGUGAAAGUUUGCGGCUCAACCGUAAAAUUGCAGUUGAAACUGGCAGUCUUGAGUGCAGUAGAGGUGGGCGGAAUUCGUGGUGUAGCGGUGAAAUGCUUAGAUAUCACGAAGAACUCCGAUUGCGAAGGCAGUUCACUGGACUGCAACUGACACUGAGGCUCGAAAGUGUGGGUAUCAAACAGGAUUAGAUACCCUUGUAGUC